CCUACGGGAGGCAGCAGUGAGGAAUAUUGGUCAAUGGACGAGAGUCUGAACCAGCCAAGUAGCGUGAAGGAUGACUGCCCUAUGGGUUGUAAACUUCUUUUAUAUGGGAAUAAAACGUUCCACGUGUGGGAUUUUGUAUGUACCAUAUGAAUAAGGAUCGGCUAACUCCGCGCCAGCAGCCGCGGUAAUACGGAGGAUCCGAGCGUUAUCCGGAUUUAUUGGGUUUAAAGGGAGCGUAGGUGGAUUGUUAAGUCAGUUGUGAAAGUUUGCGGCUCAACCGUAAAAUUGCAGUUGAAACUGGCAGUCUUGAGUACAGUAGAGGUGGGCGGAAUUCGUGGUGUAGCGGUGAAAUGCUUAGAUAUCACGAAGAACUCCGAUUGCGAAGGCAGUUCACUGGACUGCAACUGACACUGAGGCUCGAAAGUGUGGGUAUCAAACAGGAUUAGAUACCCCUGUAGUC
rnacentral:rRNA from 1 species